rnacentral:piRNA from 1 species
UGAUGUGUAUGGUGGGCCUCGUGAUGGGA